GUAAUUUUCCUCGACUGUGUACCAACGCCCGUGGUUUUAAGGAACGUGCUUCCGCAAGGAGACUACCAGCACUCACUCAAACAAAUUGCUAUCUACGAUAAUAACCUACGCCCUUCGAUGGUUCACCAAAUAUAGGAGACAAAAACCCUGGUGGGCCCUAUCCUAUUUAGCUGACAUACUGAAUACUUUGAAGACUGUUAAAGGUUGACUUUCCUUACUACUGGAGUUUACUCUUCGACCCUUUCUUACAAUGGGAAUGAGGACGUAUAUUCUUGACUGGAGGA